rnacentral:tRNA from 1 species
GGAUUGUGGCUCAGUGGUACAGCACUUGCCUAGCAUGCGUGAGGCACUGGGUUCAAUCCCCAGAACCA